CCUACGGGGGGCAGCAGUGAGGAAUAUUGGUCAAUGGACGAGAGUCUGAACCAGCCAAGUAGCGUGAAGGAUGACUGCCCUAUGGGUUGUAAACUUCUUUUAUGUGGGAAUAAAAUGUUCCACGUGUGGGAUUUUGUAUGUACCAUAUGAAUAAGGAUCGGCUAACUCCGUGCCAGCAGCCGCGGUAAUACGGAGGAUCCGAGCGUUAUCCGGAUUUAUUGGGUUUAAAGGGAGCGUAGGUGGAUUGUUAAGUCAGUUGUGAAAGUUUGCGGCUCAACCGUAAAAUUGCAGUUGAAACUGGCAGUCUUGAGUACAGUAGAGGUGGGCGGAAUUCGUGGUGUAGCGGUGAAAUGCUUAGAUAUCACGAAGAACUCCGAUUGCGAAGGCAGUUCACUGGACUGCAACUGACACUGAGGCUCGAAAGUGUGGGUAUCAAACAGGAUUAGAUACCCGUGUAGUC
rnacentral:rRNA from 1 species